rnacentral:tRNA from 1 species
UGUUCUGCGACUUAGUUGGUUAAAUUGCCGGUCUAGCGAAUACGGAGUCGUGGGUUCGAAUCCCACCAGAACGC